AGCCUAUGAUGAAUAAAGUAUUAAGAGUAGUGGACAGGAGUGAUUUCUGAGAAUUUAUACACUGAGGCU